rnacentral:rRNA from 1 species
AACAGGAUUAGAUACCCUGGUAGUCCACGCUGUAAACGAUGUCGACUUGGAGGUUGUGCCCUUGAGGCGUGGCUUCCGGAGCUAACGCGUUAAGUCGACCGCCUGGGGAGUACGGCCGCAAGGUUAAAACUCAAAUGAAUUGACGGGGGCCCGCACAAGCGGUGGAGCAUGUGGUUUAAUUCGAUGCAACGCGAAGAACCUUACCUACUCUUGACAUCCAGAGAAUUUGCUAGAGAUAGCUUAGUGCCUUCGGGAACUCUGAGACAGGUGCUGCAUGGCUGUCGUCAGCUCGUGUUGUGAAAUGUUGGGUUAAGUCCCGCAACGAGCGCAACCCUUAUCCUUUGUUGCCAGCGCGUAAUGGUGGGAACUCAAAGGAGAUUGCCGGUGAUAAACCGGAGGAAGGUGGGGAUGACGUCAAGUCAUCAUGGCCCUUACGAGUAGGGCUACACACGUGCUACAAUGGCAUAUACAAAGAGAAGCGAACUCGCGAGAGCAAGCGGACCUCAUAAAGUAUGUCGUAGUCCGGAUUGGAGUCUGCAACUCGACUCCAUGAAGUCGGAAUCGCUAGUAAUCGUAGAUCAGAAUGCUACGGUGAAUACGUUCCCGGGCCUUGUACACACCGCCCGUCACACCAUGGGAGUGGGUUGCAAAAGAAGUAGGUAGCUUAACCUUCGGGAGGGCGCUUACCACUUUGUGAUUCAUGACUGGGGUGAAGUCGUAACAAGGUAACC